GUAGGCAUGAGUCACCAUGCCCAGCUGCUUACACAAUUUCUGAGGAGAAGUCAGAUGUGAUUCUUAUCCGUGCUCCUCCACAGUGAGAAGGUGGCUGUCUGCAAGCCAGGAAGAGGGCCCUCACCAGAACCCAACUCAGCUGGUACCGUCUGCAGCUUCCAAACUCCAGAACUGUGAGAAAUAAAUGUGUGUUGUUAUUAAA